CCAGUACAGUGAGGGAAAGGUGAAAAGCACCCCGGAAGGGGAGUGAAAUAGAACCUGAAACCGUGUGCUUACAAGUAGUCAGAGCCCGUUAAUGGGUGAUGGCGUGCCUUUUGUAGAAUGAACCGGCGAGUUACGAUUUGAUGCAAGGUUAAGCAGUAAAUGUGGAGCCGUAGCGAAAGCGAGUCUGAAUAGGGCGUUUAGUAUUUGGUCGUAGACCCGAAACCAGGUGAUCUACCCUUGGUCAGGUUGAAGUUCAGGUAACACUGAAUGGAGGACCGAACCGACUUACGUUGAAAAGUGAGCGGAUGAACUGAGGGUAGCGGAGAAAUUCCAAUCGAACCUGGAGAUAGCUGGUUCUCUCCGAAAUAGCUUUAGGGCUAGCCUCAAGUGAUGAUUAUUGGAGGUAGAGCACUGUUUGGACGAGGGGCCCCUCUCGGGUUACCGAAUUCAGACAAACUCCGAAUGCCAAUUAAUUUAACUUGGGAGUCAGAACAUGGGUGAUAAGGUCCGUGUUCGAAAGGGAAACAGCCCAGACCACCAGCUAAGGUCCCAAAAUAUAUGUUAAGUGGAAAAGGAUGUGGCGUUGCCCAGACAACUAGGAUGUUGGCUUAGAAGCAGCCAUCAUUUAAAGAGUGCGUAAUAGCUCACUAGUCGAGUGACACUGCGCCGAAAAUGUACCGGGGCUAAACAUAUUACCGAAGCUGUGGAUUGUCCUUUGGACAAUGGUAGGAGAGCGUUCUAAGGGCGUUGAAGCAUGAUCGUAAGGACAUGUGGAGCGCUUAGAAGUGAGAAUGCCGGUGUGAGUAGCGAAAGACGGGUGAGAAUCCCGUCCACCGA
rnacentral:rRNA from 1 species